CAAGAAACACUUCACUUUCAUCCUACACUUUACUUUACUAAAGUGUGCUCUCUCUCUCUCCAUCUCUCUAUUUAUCCUUUUUGUUUUUUCUCUUUGAAUCAAACAACGAACUCAACCAACUUUGUUGAAAUUCGAAGAGGAAAUUCAUGGUGAAGCUCAUAUUGGAGUGAAUUUUGCUCGGAUUAUAUUAAAUUUCUAGUUCUCUUCUCCAUUUUUCCAGUUUGAUCUAGCAGUAUAUGGUUCUUUUCAUCCCUCAUCUAUCUUUUUUCACAGGCUCCAGUCAAGGUGUUUGGUUCUUGAAAUCUAUUAUUUUUAUCUGAUUUUUUGAUUAAGCUCUCAAAUUAGUGUUUUAUCUGAUUUGCAUGUCUGAAGCUUUUUCUUACAAAUAAAAAGUGUGUGGUAGCUCACGUUUGGCUGUGAAGAAUGUGUUUCUGGGUCUUUUGUGUCGCCUAAAUUUAUAUAUUUUUCUUUAAAAAAUUGCUACGGCUCUCCCUUCUAUGCACAAUGCAAAUUUUUCGAAUAUAUUUUUAGCCGAUAGGCUCUUAAAUAUUGGAUUAUACAGUUUGGGGGAGUGAAGAAAAAUAUGAGCUUUGAAAUCUAAAGGUGGAGUUCCACUUUGGAUUUUGCCAAUUGCGAACUAGGUCAAACUUUUUCUCAUUAAUUUUCCUCUCUGUGUUAUAAUUUCCUUCCAAAUCGAAGAGACCAUUUUCAGUGAUUAAAAAUCGCUUUGGGUGGAGGUGGACCGCAGGGGGGAACUGCUGCAACAAAUGUGCUAACCUACGUCGAAGGAAGACCACUGGUGGUGGUGUAGGAGGAGCAGGUGGUACCAUGCUUCAAUUUUACACUGACGAUUCCCUAGAACUUAAUAUAUCCCUAGUGUUGUGCUUGUUAUGAGUACUGGCUUCAUAGCCUUUGUUGUGAUCCUUCACUUCAGGGUAAGCUUUACCUUCCGUAGAGAGACCUAAAGAAAUUUGGAUGUCUCUUUUCUGACUUAGGAAAUAUUUGUUGAGCAACAGCUUUGUUCGUUGAAGAAAAACUGAUGAUGUAGCUUUAUUUUUAUUUUUAUUUUUAUUUUUAUUUUUAUUUUGUCUGUGCAAUGAAGUAUAGAAAAAAAUUCUAGUUAUGAGUUAAAAAAAGAAUUUAUCU